UCGGCUUAGAGUUUGAUCCUGGCUCAGGACGAACGCUGGCGGCGUGCCUAAUACAUGCAAGUCGAACGAAUUGGUGCUUGCAUCAUUGAGUGGCGAACUGGUGAGUAACACGUGGGAAACCUGCCCAGAAGCGGGGGAUAACACCUGGAAACAGAUGCUAAUACCGCAUAACAACUUACCGCAUGGUCGAGCUGAAAGAUGUUCGUAUCACUUUUGGAUGGUCCCGCGGCGUAUUAGCUAGAUGGUGGGGUAAUGGCUCACCAUGGCAAUGAUACGUAGCCGAUCUGAGAGGGUAAUCGGCCACAUUGGGACUGAGACACGGCCCAAACUCCUACGGGAGGCAGCAGUAGGGAAUCUUCCACAAUGGACGAAAGUCUGAUGGAGCAACGCCGCGUGAGUGAAGAAGGGUUUCGGCUCGUAAAACUCUGUUGUUAAAGAAGAACAUAUCUGAGGUAAUUCAGGUAUUGACGGUAUUUAACCAGAAAGCCACGGCUAACUACGUGCCAGCAGCCGCGGUAAUACGUAGGUGGCAAGCGUUGUCCGGAUUUAUUGGGCGUAAAGCGAGCGCAGGCGGUUUUUUAAGUCUGAUGUGAAAGCCUUCGGCUCAACCGAAGAAGUGCAUCGGAAACUGGGAAACUUGAG
rnacentral:rRNA from 1 species